rnacentral:rRNA from 1 species
UGGGCCCUACGGGAGGCAGCAGUAGGGAAUUUUCGUCAAUGGGCGCAAGCCUGAACGAGCAAUGCCGCGUGAACGAGGAAGGUCUUCGGAUCGUAAAGUUCUGUUGAAGGGGAAAAAGAGCGGAGAGAGGAAAUGAACUCCGAUUGAUAUUACCCUUCGAGGAAGUCACGGCUAACUACGUGCCAGCAGCCGCGGUAAUACGUAGGUGGCGAGCGUGAUCCGGAAUGAUUGGGCGUAAAGGGUGCGUAGGCGGCCUGCUAAGUCUGGAGUGAAAGGUACCGGCUCAACCGGAACAGGCUCUGGAA